rnacentral:rRNA from 1 species
UACAGAGGGUGCGAGCGUUAAUCGGAAUUACUGGGCGUAAAGCGUGCGUAGACGGUUAUUUAAGUCGGGUGUGAAAGCCCCGGGCUCAACCUGGGAAUUGGCAUUCGAGACUGAAUAGCUAGGGUACGGUAGAGGGAAGUGGAAUUUCCGGUGUAGCGGUGAAAUGGCGUAGAUAUCGGAAGGAACAUCGAGUGGCGAAAG